UCUAAAUCUCUCAAUUCAGUCUCCCCGACCACAGUUAGCAUUUUUAGGACGAAACUUGGCGAAGUGUUUAGUGCUUUGUUUGUAAACAAUGAACUCUCUUAGAAAAAGUAAUAAAUAAUAUAUUCUUUGCAGUGAACCUAUAAAGUCAAAACAAUGAAGUUAAUUCAGUGCUAUUAAUCGAUUUAUAUAGGAUGCUGAGACUUGGACUCUGAGAGAAAGUGAGAAAAAGAAGAUACACACUCUAGAAAUGUGUUGUAGAAGAACGCUUGCAUAUCCUGGACACAGUUUCGAAACAACAUCUCACUCCUCCAAGAACUGGGGAUCAAACAGCAUCUUUCUUCCAGCAUCUAAUGUCUUACACACACUUCUUUGGACGUACUAGACAAAGAGACGAUAAGUCCAUAUCCUUAGAGAGACAUAAACUCACUACCUACGAUAUUUAAUACCUUAUCAUGUUGUAGAUUUCUGCGACAUCUUGCAUGUUGUUGUAUCCAAUGUGUUUGGAUUUGUGUUCCUGGGCUUAUGUGUGUGGUUUAGUUAAGUUUACUUAAGUUUGCUGGCUAUUAAGCAAAAAGGAAUCGAAUUUCAUUUUUAAAAGUAUGAUUAUGCCAAACGAACUCUUUCGUCAUCGCUCAUAGGAGAUUUGGAAUAUGCCCUAUAACUGCAGACUCCAAUAUUGCAAAUAGCACCUGCAAUACAGUGGAAUAACAUAUUGGUGUGCUGAAGAAAAGAUGGCAAAGGCUUUUAGCUGA
rnacentral:lncRNA from 1 species